GUUACUGUGGAAGGCAAGUCGUUAAUGUAUAUUAGAAAGAGCAAGGGGCCAAGAACUGUGCCUUGAGGUACUCCUGAAAGAACGUGUGAGUAGGAUGAUGAGAAGCCAUUAAGGCUCAAUCAGCCGUAGGUACGCGUUCCAAUGCACCCGCACGCGCCGCACCACGCCUGGGCGCGUACGGCGUCAGGCGCGGAGGCUGUUUCGCGUGUCGGCGCGCGGCGGCGUGGAGACCUACAACCGCUAGGAUUUUUGCGCCCGCGCCGGAAGCUACCGCUCGCGUCGGUAGCAUGACGCACCUCACAUGACCACGGCGAGCCAACGUCACUUCCGAACGACUCUUCGCGCGACGUUCAGGCAAGCCCGGGCAAGCUUUAGUACUUCCUUGUUGGCUGUGCGCGUUGAGAUCGUUCUUCAUGGCAGGUACGGAAAUUUUCAGCCGUAAUGGCUGCAUUAAUAAUGAAACUUUAAUAGCCGAAGUGCAAUGUCGCCAACCAUUGUGGAUGGCCUCUCAUAAACAACAUAAGGACCGCAACCUCAAAGCGGCACUGUGGAAUGAAGUGACGGCUUCCGUCCUGCCAGAUAUCAACAUCCAAGUGGGACUGGAGUUGGUGCAGAAGAGAUGGAAAUCGCUCCGUGAUAAGUUUCGCCGCAUCUUCAACGGCCGCAUAAAGACAGAAAAGAGUGGCGCCGACGAUGUCGAGUCGGUCGACACAGCAUGGCCCUUUUUUGAGCUGUUGCUGUUUUUAAAAGACACCAUGGUGACGAGACCCACUUCAGGCAAUUAUGUAGUGCCUGCAAGCCCGAGAGAGGUGAGUCAGCAGCUGGACACAAGUGAGCCACUCGGUGCGAACCAGCAGCACAGUAGUGCAGAA